rnacentral:lncRNA from 1 species
CGGCACCAGAGGGCGCCCGAGGGACCCUCCUCCCAUUUUCUCUUUUUUUUCCCUCUUUGCUCGUUGUGGUCCCUUGCACUAUCUCUGCCUUGUUUGAGGUGCUGUUCUUGGUGGCUCCCUGGAUUCGUCUCCGCUGCAGAGAAGAUCCGGGUCCAGCGGCGGUCAGCUAGAUGUUGGAGCCUUAGCGCGUUACGAGUCUGAGUUUCCAUUGGCAAAGUCGGCUUUUGGGGAUAUACAAAAGGUCACUUGAGCCUUCUGGAGGGGUAGUUGCGCGGGAGGCACUUGGUUCUCUCUCCUUUCUGUCGCGGUUCGAAGGCUUCUCUGAUUCAGCCAUGGCGGUGGGUGAGUGGUGUGUUGAAACAGAUCUGUCUCUCAUCCUUGGUGUAUCGGAUUAGCAUUCUCUGUCUUUCUUUCACCGCCGUGUUUGCUCUGGAGAAUCUUUCUACCUCAGAGGCGUGUUGUAAACCUGGCUUCCGGCGUAUGUUGGAGCCUGCCGUGGUAGCACGUGGAGUGUGACAUAGUCACGGUGUCGGAGAUGGUCGUCGUCUAUGCCUCUCUGAGGCGGUCAUGUGGCCUCCCUUUCAUCAACCUCUCCCUUCCCGGCUUUUUGUCAGAGUGUUUCCGGCAAUACUUGGCAUCGUUCUCUCUCGGGUUCAUCGCUUUUGUUUCUUUGGUACUGUUGGUAUUGUGCCACCGGUGCCUCUAUUCAACAGCAAGACUAACUUCACUUCGGUUCUCGAAGGAAGCGGUUGGCGAGGAGUUAGGAAGCUUUCGGUGGUCUUGGGACCCUUCCUCCCUUGGUGGCUCAGUCGACAAGUGGCACAUCCCAGUGCUGUGACUUCGUUCAUGGUAGUGUUGCUUGGCUUUGUUUGCAGGUUUGGAGCGUUUUUUUUUGUUUAGUAGCGACCAUUCCAUUCCCGUCUCUUGCUUCUCCGUUCUAGACCAGAGAUCUUCUGCGGUCCCUUCAUUCUAGACGGUUUAGAUUUGGGUGUUGUAUGUGACUGCAUAAGCGGGUUUAGGUCGAUUUUCAAAGGUUUGUAUCUGAUCUCACUCAAAUUACCCUAAUGAGUGAAUUACUCUCUCAGAUAAAAGGUUCAGUCGUAGUACUUAGGGAUCAAAUUCAAAUGGAGCUAGGGAACUUAAUAAAUCUAAUCAGAUUGAUAAGCUAGGUUGAAUAUGUUUAAAUUUAAAUAGCAGGUUUGUGAGCAAGGCAGUUACUCGAUUGAUUUGAUUGGGGUUUUGGUACUUAGAUGAAAGUAGCUAGACUUAGGGUUUUUAUUCAGGUAAUCAGGAUUAUAAUCCUACAGAUGCCUAACAAAUUGUAUGCAUGAUAUUAUAGAGCUCAACACUUAUAAACAAACUGAUAGGCUCUCGCUUUCUAGGUUUGUCUAUUGACCUGAUAUAAGUGUCGAUUCUAUAGGAAUAUCGAUCGAUACACUUGUUGAACCGUCGACCGAUUAUUCGAUUGAAAUAUCGAUCGACGCGUUUGGUCAAGCUUUACCGUGCGGGUUAAAUGUGCUCACUAAGCUUCCUAGAUCAGCUCUCGCCUUACUCUAGCAAUCUUAUCUCAAUUAGGAUGAAUUCAGGGUGAGAUGCAAGUGAUGACCUUUACCUCAAACUCCUAGAUCAAGUUCUAGCUAGCUAAACUACAAACAUGCUUUAAUGACAAUCCUAAUGAUGAAUAUCACAACUUAGCGAUCUAUAGUUGGGGCUAAUCCCUCAUAACCUAUUUAAGCCCUAAACCUAAUAAAAGAACUACUCAGACAUGGCUAAGCAAUUCAUAACAACAAUUAGGUAUAAAACCUGCAUAGAUAAAUAGAUAGAUAUCCAUAGAGUUCCAAUCGUAAAUCUCUUUGGAUCUUCUCUCCAAUCUACUAAAAAUCCUAGAAAACCUUUUGAUGUGAAAAUAGUAAAACAAGAAAGCACACUUUGCCUCUAACAUGUUGGCAAACUUAUACAAUUCGGUUAAAACUCGUCAGGGGUAAUCUUAUAAAUUGGUGAAGAUUUGGGCUCUAAGUCGGCGGAAACCAAACAUGCUUUCUGCGCGCUUUGCCGUCGACCGAUGUCACAGGAUGUGCAUCGAUGGAUUAUUAUCUCUGAAUGUGGACCGAUGGUCUUGCUCGAUGGUCAGCUCGGAUGCUUUCUCCAAAUAUCUCCAAAAUGCUCCAAAAUCAUCACUUUCUUCCAAAUCACUUCUGAUCCUAUAAAUAUACUAAAUAUACUCUAUAAUAUAAUAAAUAGUUAUUAAAACACCUAUACAACAUGGCUAAAAAUGGCUAACAUCCAUGGCUUAUCAGUAUCCUUCCUCCUUCACUGAUGGCUCCUAUGCGCUGAUUGGCAGAGAAAAUUAUGGGUUCCAAGGCGUUCACCGUGAGCUAGCUACUCCGGAGACAGCACAGAUAUUCCCUGCAUCCGAAGAAAUGAAGAGAACCUCACAUAUUUACGGGUAUUGUCGAAGGUUGAGAACGGUAAGCGGUUCUUAGGAAGUUCAAAAUCGGAGGUAGAGGAACGUGUCGGUUUUAUUGGGUGGGCAAAACUGCUUUUAUAAUACAUUGACUUAGGAGCUUUUGUUCAAUUCGGACACAUGUAAUCGUAUCUAAAUGCCGUUCUCGGGUUGGUUUAAUUUAUAAAAUUUCUAUUAAAAAAUAAAAUUAUAUUCAGUCUCAUAGGUAUAAAACUAAUUAUGGUCUUAUUUUUUUAUAAAAUUACUAAACCCGAUUGAAUCAAGUUGGACCCUAUUGAACCAUGGCAUAAGAGUUUUUCCGGUUUGGUUGUCAUUCCGGUUUUAAAAUCAUUGGUUUUCAAAUAGUUUUGAGGUACCUGGCUAAGCUCGAACCUAAGUCUGGAUGAUAUCCGUUAACCAAAUUACCGCUACAAGAUCCAUUACAAUAGCUUAGAACACAUGACUCAGAUUCAGUUACAAACGCCGUGUAGGUACAAUUAGAACCAUUACCCAUCAACUAACAUAAUGAAUUCGUCUAUUUUUUUAGUGCGUCUACAGCUCUGAAAUUUGGGCUUACUUCUGCGCCCGUACCCAUGUCACCCCCCCCCCCAUUGUGUAUGAAGAUUGUCUUAGGUGGCUUAAGAACUCUUCCACAGAUCCAAACAUCGUACUCAUAAUAAAGCUCAUCUUUCAAGCUGUUGUUUAUAUGGUCUGGAAGGAAAGAAAUGCUCGACUACAUUCAAACGUGAGUAGACCUACGCGCGCCAUCAUUCAAGAAGUUAAACAGACUGUUCGGUUGCGACUUGAUCCUUUGUCUCGCAACAUGAGGAUCACUAGGAGCUCUUCUCUUACUUACUUAGGUUCUUGGCUAAGUUUGUUCUAAGGGUCUGUUAAAUCCCUUAGAUUUUUUUGAAGAAAGUUGGUUGUCUUAAUCUUUGUAACUUGUUGUUGGAAAAUAAAUAAAGAGGUUUAAAAAAAAAAAAAAACAUAAUGAAUUCUUUAAUCUGAUUUGGUUUAUGAGAGAACCAAGUACCAACUCAUCUCUUUCGUAGGUUUAUCACGAUUAACAUUAAAUAACAUAUAAUACUUAUUGGCUGCAUGUGUAUGAUUCUUCUAUUAUCAAUUACAUCACCUUACAAGUUUGUGAAAACUUAAUUUUGUGAAGCUUCUAGACAUCCCCUAUAUAUUAAUAGAAAAACAUUUAAAAAGUUAUAACAUUUUGUGAAGCUUCUAGACAUCUGGUUGAGUUGUCACAUAAUUGGAAUGCUAAUUUUGCUUACGUGGCGGAUUGAGAAUCAAUUGAAAAUUUUGUUACUCCAAAAUUAAAUUGCUAGAAAAUGUUAUAUUAUAUAGUAUGUCUAUUAUAGAUCAUUCAUUUAUCAAAUUAAAAUUAUUAUAUAUGAUUUUCUUAAAUAAAACCUAUGGAAUUACCUAAUAUGUUAAACAUAUAUAUGACAAUUAAUGAUUUUAAAUAAUAAAGAUUUGCUAUCAAUCUUUAUACUUUCUAUCGUUUUUGUUUAAUUAUUUAUUAUUAAAAUAAAUUACACAAUUACAUUAAUCAUUUAAUAAAAAAAAAAAAAUUAUUUUGUAUAUGUUGUAUUUUGAAUUUUUCAAAACGAGUAUAAAUUACUAAAACUGUUAAAAGUCUCACAUUGUCUUAUCCUAGUUGGUACUAUUAGCAAACCUUUUGAUAUGUUUCCUUCUUUGAAAUGGGUUUUAAAAUUUAACAUCUUGACGUUCAAAUCUUGUUGAAAAAUGAUUGAUGUAGUCUGUUACUGCUAACUUUGAAAAGCAAGCAGUGACGUUUAAUUUGUUACUACUUUGUUUCUUACAAGAUGAUUGAUUCGUCUCCUUUGAUCAAAAAAAAACCAUUCGUCUCCAAUAAAGGAAGGCUCAUUAUGAUGCGGUCAUCAAACCAGUAGUUGAACCGGAGGUCGACCCAACACCCUACUCAACCAGCCAAGGCGCCAACCAGAACACAUGUGUGCUAAAAAUGUCAUAUCUUACAAACCAGGAGGGUUUCACCAUGAAUCCAAUUUUCAUGGAUUCUACACUCGCGAAGGUUUCCAGAACAGUUGGAAUUUUAGUCAAAGCUAUCCGGACCAGAGAGAUAUGAAUUCUGCAAACCAGAGGUUGUUGGAACUAUUUUUUGAACAUUAUGAAUAAUGUAUUCAUAUAUCAAAAAUGAAGUUUUAUUUGAAUGGAAAAUGGAGGUCUAAUGUGUGUGAAGUUUUUAUAUUGAUCAUGGCCUCUUUAAGGUCUUCCCACAUUUUAAUAGCCUCUCUUUGACUCUUCCAUCGUGCACCAUCUACACCUUUCCACCAUUUGUAUGCACUUCCGGUAAGUUGUUUAAUAGCAUGGCUCAGCUUUUCUUUCUUUGGCAUGCCAAGGUAUGAAAACCAAUCAUCCAUGGUUCUUUCCCAUGAGAGAUAGUCAUCUGGCCAACUGCUUCCUGAAAAAUAAUAAAUCUUAACAUCAUUAGCAGAUUUAAAAUCAAGAUAAGAAUGAGUUAAGUAUUCAUGAGUGCAAGAAGUUUGGCGUGGGGUAAUCCAUGAAGGAUCCGGUGGCUUGGGCUAAACAUAGCCAGCCUCUGGUGCAUCUCCAAAUCAUCUUUCUCCAUGUGGUGAUGGUCGGCCUUGUGGCUUAUUUCUUUUUCACAACUGAGCAAUCUUAUCAUUGAGCUUUUGUAUAGCUGCUAAGUGUUGGCUCAGUCUGCUCUCUAGAUUUAGGCUGUGUGCUUCUCCUACCGUUGCUUCCUGAAAACAAUCUAAAAGACCAAGUGAAUUAUGAGAAGUUUUGGCCGAGCAUAAGAACAAUGAAACAAUGCAAAUUAUUUUAAACUAAACUGAUAAAUAUGCAAGUAGUGAACCCGAAUUGAAAUAAUCUAAGGUGCAAUAUUUUCGUUUUCUGGUUGCAAUCUCAAAAUGAAACAAUAUGGAAUGCUAAUAAACACAAUGAAAGAAAAUAUGGAAAUAAAACCAACACUGAUAUUAUUUUUUUUUGAAAUUUUCGUAGGAUGAAAGGUGAGAACAAGAAACGGAAACAAAAAUGUAUGCUUGGACCAAAAUGAUUUAAACUAAUGGUAUUUUUAUUUUCUUUUCUGAAUGCAAGUUCAAAACAAUGAAGC